GGGUCGGUGGUGUAGUGGUAACAUAUGUCAUGGCCGCAGUCUUUCCCAUGACAAGUCCCAGGUUCAAUUCCUGGCUGACCUG